GACGAACGCUGGCGGCGUGCCUAAUACAUGCAAGUAGAACGCUGAAGAGAGGAGCUUGCUCUUCUUGGAUGAGUUGCGAACGGGUGAGUAACGCGUAGGUAACCUGCCUUGUAGCGGGGGAUAACUAUUGGAAACGAUAGCUAAUACCGCAUAACAAUGGAUGACACAUGUCAUUUAUUUGAAAGGGGCAAUUGCUCCACUACAAGAUGGACCUGCGUUGUAUUAGCUAGUAGGUGAGGUAAUGGCUCACCUAGGCGACGAUACAUAGCCGACCUGAGAGGGUGAUCGGCCACACUGGGACUGAGACACGGCCCAGACUCCUACGGGAGGCAGCAGUAGGGAAUCUUCGGCAAUGGGGGCAACCCUGACCGAGCAACGCCGCGUGAGUGAAGAAGGUUUUCGGAUCGUAAAGCUCUGUUGUAAGUCAAGAACGGGUGUGAGAGUGGAAAGUUCACACUGUGACGGUAGCUUACCAGAAAGGGACGGCUAACUACGUGCCAGCAGCCGCGGUAAUACGUAGGUCCCGAGCGUUGUCCGGAUUUAUUGGGCGUAAAGCGAGCGCAGGCGGUUUGAUAAGUCUGAAGUUAAAGGCUGUGGCUCAACCAUAGUUCGCUUUGGAAACUGUCAAACUUGAGUGCAGAAGGGGAGAGUGGAAUUCCAUGUGUAGCGGUGAAAUGCGUAGAUAUAUGGAGGAACACCGGUGGCGAAAGCGGCUCUCUGGUCUGUAACUGACGCUGAGGCUCGAAAGCGUGGGGAGCGAACAGGAUUAGAUACCCUGGUAGUCCACGCCGUAAACGAUGAGUGCUAGGUGUUGGAUCCUUUCCGGGAUUCAGUGCCGCAGCUAACGCAUUAAGCACUCCGCCUGGGGAGUACGACCGCAAGGUUGAAACUCAAAGGAAUUGACGGGGGCCUGCACAAGCGGUGGAGCAUGUGGUUUAAUUCGAAGCAACGCGAAGAACCUUACCAGGUCUUGACAUCCCGAUGCUACUUCUAGAGAUAGAAAGUUACUUCGGUACAUCGGUGACAGGUGGUGCAUGGUUGUCGUCAGCUCGUGUCGUGAGAUGUUGGGUUAAGUCCCGCAACGAGCGCAACCCCUAUUGUUAGUUGCCAUCAUUCAGUUGGGCACUCUAGCGAGACUGCCGGUAAUAAACCGGAGGAAGGUGGGGAUGACGUCAAAUCAUCAUGCCCCUUAUGACCUGGGCUACACACGUGCUACAAUGGUUGGUACAACGAGUUGCGAGUCGGUGACGGCGAGCUAAUCUCUUAAAGCCAAUCUCAGUUCGGAUUGUAGGCUGCAACUCGCCUACAUGAAGUCGGAAUCGCUAGUAAUCGCGGAUCAGCACGCCGCGGUGAAUACGUUCCCGGGCCU
rnacentral:rRNA from 1 species